rnacentral:rRNA from 1 species
CGUAACGGGUAACGAAGAAUUAGGGUUCGAUUUCGGAGAGGGAGCAUGAGAAACGGCUACCACAUCUAAGGAAGGCAGCAGGCGCGUAAAUUACCCAAUCCUGACUCAGGGAGGUAGUGACAAGAAAUAGCAAACCGGGAACCUCAUGGUUUCACGGUAUUGCAAUGAGAACAAUUUUAAACCCUUAGCGAGAAUCAAGUGGAGGACAAGUCUGGUGCCAGCACCCGCGGUAAUUCCAGCUCCACUAGCGUAUAUUAAAGUUGUUGCAGUUAAAAAGCUCGUAGUUGAACCUCUGUCUGAGGCUAGUUUUGGCUUUGGUCAGGCUAGUUCUAGGCAUCCGCCUACAAGACUUAGAGGGCAUUCAGUUGUUCACUAGGAGGAGUAGGCAUUUUACUUUGAAAAAAUUAGAGUGUUUAAGGCAGGCAAUCGCCCGCAUAUAUUAGCAUGGAAUAAUAGAAUAGGACACUUUUCCAUUUCGUUGGUUAUUGGAAUCGUGUAAUGAUUAAUGGGGACAGUUGUGGGCAUUUGUAUUUAAUUGUCAGAGGUGAAAUUCUUGGAUUUAUUAAAGACAAACUAACGCGAAAGCAUUUGCCAAGGAUGUUUUCAUUAAUCAAGAACGAAAGUUAGGGGAUCAAAGACGAUCAGAUACCGUCCUAGUUUUAACUAUAAACUAUUCCGACUCAAUGUUUGACUGGCUUAUAUAACCAGUUGAGCGUUGUAUGAGAAAUCAAAGUCUUUAGGUUCUGGGGGGAGUAUGGUUGCAAAGCUGAAACUUAAAGGAAUUGACGGAAGAGCACAACCAGGAGUGAUUCUGCGGCUUAAUUUGACUCAACACGGGGAAACUUACCAGGUUAAAACAAUAGUGGGAUUGACAGUUUGAGAGCGCUUUCUUGAUUGGUUGGGUGGUGGUGCAUGGCCGUUCUUAGUUGUGGAGUGAUUUGUCUGCUUAAUUGCGUUAACGAACGAGACCUUAACCUGCUUACUAGACUGGCGAUCAUCAAUCGUUAGCUCUUCUUAGAGGGACUUUGGUUGUUUUAACUCCAAGGAAGUUUGAGGCAAUAACAGGUCUGUGAUGCCCUUAGAUAUCCUGGGCCGCACGCGUCAUACAAUGACUAGUUCAGAAAGUUUUCUCCUGACCCGAAAGGGGAUGGGUAAUCUUGAUAAUACUAGUCGUGUUAGGGAUCGAUCUUUGCAAUUAUAGAUCUUGAACGAGGAAUUCCUAGUAAGUGCGGUUCAUCAGACCGUACUGAUUACGUCCCUGCUCUUUGUACACACCGCCCGUCGCUUCUACCGAGUGGGUGGUCCGGUGAGAUAAUUGAACUUCGCAGGUAACUGAGAGGAAAGAUUAUCAAACCUAUCCACCUCGAGGAAGAAGAAGUCGUAACAAGGUU